GUCGAGAAUCUUUCACAAUGGGGGCAACCCUGAUGGAGCGACGCCGCGUGGAGGAUAAGGUCUUCGGAUUGUAAACUCCUGUCAUGCGUGAACAAGGUUGCUUGGUUAAUACCUGGGCAAAUUGAUGGUAACGCAAGAGGAAGAGACGGCUAACUCUGUGCCAGCAGCCGCGGUAAUACAGAGGUCUCAAGCGUUGUUCGGAAUCACUGGGCGUAAAGGGUGCGUAGGUGGCGUGGUAAGUCAGAUGUGAAAGCCAGAGGCACAACCUCGUAACUGCAUCCGAUACUGCCAUGCUAGAUUACUGGAGAGGUUACUAGAAUUCUCGUUGUAGCAGUGAAAUGCGUAGAUAUCGAGAGGAAUACCAAAGGCGUAGGCAGGUCACUGGACAGUUACUGACACUGAGGCACGAAGGCCAGGGGAGCGAACGGGAUUAGAUACCCGGGUAGUCC
rnacentral:rRNA from 1 species